CUUAGAUAAAUCUAGAUACCAUUAGAUUCAAUUAUUUAUGAUUUUUAUUGAACCAUCUGUACAGUAAUUCAACCAUAAUUUGAUUCAAUCAUCUUGAUUAGACCAAUCAGAUUAUCCAACAAUAUCAUCUGAUUAGUCUUAUUCUACCCUAAUAAUUUCUUAUUCCUCUGAUAUUCUUUCUACAUGAUUUAUAUGAAGGAUUGGAUGGCGCACCAAAUCGGUU
rnacentral:lncRNA from 1 species